GACGAACGCUGGCGGCGUGCUUAACACAUGCAAGUCGAACGGAAAGGCCUCUUUCGGGGGGUACUCGAGUGGCGAACGGGUGAGUAACACGUGAGUAACCUGCCCUUGACUUUGGGAUAACUUCAGGAAACUGGGGCUAAUACCGGAUAGGAGCUCCUGCUGCAUGGUGGGGGUUGGAAAGUUUCGGCGGUUGGGGAUGGACUCGCGGCUUAUCAGCUUGUUGGUGGGGUAGUGGCUUACCAAGGCUUUGACGGGUAGCCGGCCUGGGAGGGUGACCGGCGACAGUGGGACUGAGAUACGGCCCAGACUCCUACGGGAGGCAGCAGUGGGGAAUAUUGCACAAUGGGUGGAGGCCUGAUGCAGCAACGCCGUGUGCGGGAUGACGGCCUUCGGGUUGUAAACCGCUUUCGCUCAUGACGAAGCUUUGUGUGACGGUAGUGGGUAAAGAAGCACCGGCUAACUACGUG
rnacentral:rRNA from 1 species